GGUGGUCUUGGGAUUUUGGGGAGAUCGCGAUCUGGGCAUAACAAUUUAAAAUAAAUAAGUCGACUUGUGUUACACAAUUGGCUACAGACCCCAAAUAACAAAGAAAUACAGAAGCAAAAUUUCAAAGUAAGAUAUUUACCGAAUGCCUGCAGUGGGCAAAUCACUUCUUGAGCUAUUGAAGUUCCAAUAGGAUUGGAGUCAGACAAUAGCUAUUGCUUUCAUGGAGCUUGCAUACCACCAUGGGAAAGAGCAAUAAAGAAGACAAUAAUAAAUAAAACGAGUUACACAGGCAGUAGAGCUAAAGACGAAUAAAGCAAAGAAGGAUAUAAACAUCCAUAGGCCACCUUCAGUCCUUGGCUGAUGGCCCCAUUCAUCCAUUUUCAAAGCCAGCAAAGUAGAGGUGAAUUUGAACUGAAAAUAAGUAUAUCAACUCUUCAUCGGAACAUCACAGAGAAGUUUCUGCUAGCUUUGAGAACUGAGGAAGAUGAAGAGGAAAUAAGACUGCUGUUCUGAAAUUGUGAAUAUUAGUAAUGGGAAACCUCACUAAAAUGGAAUCAGGAUUCAGCAGGAGGAGGUCUCACACUCUCACUAGUAUUCAAUUUCAGACCCAAUAGGAAGAGAUGGACUUGACCCUACAGGGACUUGAACUUGCAUCAGAUAUAACUUUACUAUUCCAGCCUGAGGAAGAAACACUUUGCUUAUCCACCUGGACAACAGCUCAGCCAAUGAGAAGCCACCAUACUUCAAACUUCCAGUUGACUCCAAUGGACUUUUAGAUUUUAGCAGCCUUCCCAACUUACCCCUUGUAAUAAAGCAUGCCUCUCCUUUGUUUCUGGGACAUGGGUAUGGUUUUGCAAAGUUUGUUUCUUCCAAAUUGCAAUUAUCUCUCUCUUUUUAAGUUUAUUUAUUUAUUU